rnacentral:tRNA from 1 species
ACGUUUCUAGUUUAUUUUGGAGAAUUUUAGUUUGUCGUACUAGCGGUGGUUUAAUAAUCGAAACGUG